rnacentral:lncRNA from 1 species
CACUGACAAAAAUUAUGCCUAAACUCAAAAGGGAAAGAAAAAAAAAAAGAGAGAAACAAAAGGGAAGGUGACUGAAUUGCAGCUCACCAAAUCAAACACUUCCUGAUAAAACACAGCAGCAAGCUUAAAGGAUCGGGGCACAAAUUAUUUAAAAAAAUUAUUUUAUCACCCGAGGCCAAACUUUAUUUUCCCUUAAAACAAAAAAAAUAAAUAGUAAUCCUAUCUCCUGGAAUUGGUUUUUUGUUUUAUUUUCUUCAAAUGGUGUUGAAAGAAUAUUUGUUGUUUACUGACCGCAGUUCUUUCAUCCUUUAAUUCUUUCUGGUCCUUUGCCACAAAGCAUAUUUAAUUUAUGGCAAAGGAUCCAAGCCCCUCGGAUGUAGUUAAUUGUAGCAGUCAAUAACUCCAUUUCCAGGUUUUUACAUUAUGAAGUAUGUAACUAGCAUGUACUAAGGUUAAGCAAAUAUUGUUAGUGGUGAGAGAAAAACUUGCAGCAAUUAUGUAAUAAAAGCAUGACCACUGCAACAGAAACACAUAAUUAGCGAUUUAAUUACAGACAUCAAAACAAACUAAAGAUGUCAAUAAAAAAAUCUACUGUGACAAACUGAUUUCAUUUCCCUGUUCUGCAAUUCUAGAUCUUAAUGCACUUCUUUAUUGUUCCCUAUUUUUUUUUUUUUUUUUUCAGAAACAAGCAGCGCAAAACAAACUCAGAUGCUGGGUGCCAUCCGUCGGGGGUGCGAGCGGUGGGGAUUUGCUGCAAGCCAGGGUUUGCUUUCUCCCAGGUGAGAACUCGUGCCUUCCAUUCAGCCAGCAGCUCCCCUUCACAACCAGCAGCCAGACAAGGGUGCUGCAUGGCGGACAGGCCUCAGCCGAUUGGCACAGCCAAAUGCAAAGUGCUAUGGAUCGGAACAGCUCCAGCUCAGUCGCUUCUGUUACCGAGAAUAACAGCAAAGCACAAGACAGACAGAGAUCUCAAGCUUACUUCAAGAGUUACGAGAUUCGUAUCCUCCUGAAAUAUGCAUGUGGAAAACAGUAACUCAAGACAUGCCACUACUUGCAGACAUCAUCACUGUGAAGUCCUACACCUGACCCAUUGUCAUUGGAUGCUCAAGCUGCACAUAGUCAUUGCAUCAUCUACAAAGCAAAUCACACACAGUUUGCUCGGAAGGGUAGACUGUAAUUUAUGUGAAAGAAGUAAGCUAUUUAAACAUAAAUUUAGAAUCACAUAUAUUAUGUACAUAAAGCCAGACUCUGCACCAAUACCAGGAUUUGUUUUUAAUGAUGUACUGUCUUUUUCUGCUAAGUUUCAAUUCUACAGAAAAUAUUCACGAUAGCUUUUGUGAUCAGGGUUUACAGAGAUAUUCAGAAGGGGAUAACCCUAUAAAUUCACAGCUUUACUUUUCUAAUUCAAGGUUUACAGGGCAUUUAAAAAC